rnacentral:rRNA from 1 species
AACGAACGCUGGCGGCAGGCUUAACACAUGCAAGUCGAGCGAGGUUUUCGGACCUAGCGGCGGACGGGUGAGUAACGCGUGGGAACGUGCCCUUUGCUACGGAAUAGCCUCUGGAAACGGAGAGUAAUACCGUAUGUGCCCGGUAACGGGGAAAGAUUUAUCGGCAAAGGAUCGGCCCGCGUUGGAUUAGGUAGUUGGUGGGGUAAUGGCCUACCAAGCCGACGAUCCAUAGCUGGUUUGAGAGGAUGAUCAGCCACACUGGGACUGAGACACGGCCCAGACUCCUACGGGAGGCAGCAGUGGGGAAUCUUAGACAAUGGGGGCAACCCUGAUCUAGCCAUGCCGCGUGAGUGAUGAAGGCCUUAGGGUUGUAAAGCUCUUUCAGCUGGGAAGAUAAUGACGGUACCAGCAGAAGAAGCCCCGGCUAACUCCGUGCCAGCAGCCGCAGUAA